GCUGGUAGGCAGCUGCCAGGGGCCUCCAGGGUGGUCCUGGGGGGAUGCCCCUCCUCUGGUGCUCACCAGCUGGGGGGCUCUGAGCUUCCCAGCAGUUCAGGGGAUGUUCAGAGGAGAUAAUGCCUUCCCCGGGAGGGAGAAAACACUAAGGUCUGGAGAGAAAAUGGGGACCCCCAGCAGGAACCAGACGGAGGGGAGAGAAGAAAGAGCACACCACCUGUGCAGCAAGGACAGCAAGGGAGGGGCACAAGCCCCCCAGGCCCCCCCAAGAACGCAGGACACUCACCCGCCUCUUCAGGGUUCCUGGACUGACGGGUGGCAGCGAGAGCAAGAUGAUGAGAAGGACGAAGCUGACCUGAGUCACCAGUGCCAUUGUUCUUGGGCCGGAGAGAUGGAGGGGAUAUGGCUGAAUAUUGAGCUCCCACUGCCCUCUCACAGAGACUGGAGGAAGAAAAGGUCUCGCCCAGAACUCCUCGCGGGACUUUAAAGGAAAACGAGGCAGUUGUGAGGACCGGAAGAAUGAGGAUCUGGGGCUGAGGCUUCAGGGGGAAGGGUGCUGCGGUAACCUCUGGUGGCCGGAAGCUCGGACUAUUCACAUCCCAUUCUCUGUUUUCUCUGCAAAGGAGAAAUGACUCGGCUCAGGAAGGAAAAUGAAUGUGACUGUCUCUGGACCUGUACUGAUAUCUCUAGAGCUUACUACCUGCUCUCUCCUGGGAUCCAGUGGAAGCUGAAUGUUUGCUCAGGAGGACUCUGGCUGCCCCCCCUUGACCCCCGGAUCCUGCCUGCGUUAGCUGUCCAUCGCUUGCACGCACAGCAGUCUUCUGUCCCUGGGCACAGGUGAUGUCUUCACUCGUGCAUGAAUCUAACUGAGGCAGAGUUGUGGCCAACCUCGCUCUCUCCCAGCCAUCCACGCCCAGUGGCAGGACUAGUCGGGAUGACAGGCCACGGCCGGACGCCGUGGAUUGACCUUGGCGUCUCCGACGUCUGCCGAGCUCUAAUCGCUCCUCAGAGGCUUCGGCCGCCUUCGCCUUGGCGGCCCCUGGAGUAAAUCACUCUCCUCCGCCCAUUCCACAAGGGGGACAUUUGCGCGUGCUUGAGGUGGGCACCCCCUAACUCGCAGGCGGGUUUUGGGGCCGUCUGCCGAGAUGGCUUUACCAGGGAGUGUCCGGUGCUGCACCUGCUACAGCUUCUCGGAGCCAGAGUGAGAUCUGGGGGAAGGUGGGCCCCAAAGGUGCAUGGGCAGCCCUCACACGGUGGGUGCUGGUCCUCUCUGGACACCCCUUGAAUGGGGUGUCUUAAAUAGCAGGCUAACGAGUUUGCAUUUUAUCCCAAACACAAG